GGAACCCUGGACAUUGAACUCCCAGUCUUUCUGUCUCUCUCCCCAGUGCUGGAAUUAUGGGCAUGCAUCAGAAUGUCAGGUUUACGCCACGCUGGGCUAGAACUCAGGGCUUUGUGAAUGUGAAGCAAGUACUCUUCCACCCGAGCUGCAUCCCCAGCCCACCUUUGUACACAGAUGACAGCUCUGUAACGCCAGCCUGUGGGUCCACACUAGCUCAUACUGUCAGGUCCUAAGACGUAAAAGGCAAAGUCUGCCUUUACUUUGGAUGUUGGAUGCAAGUGGGGUUUGCUAGGCUACCUGCACCCCUCUCUGAUGUGGGUACAAAUCCAGAGGACCACACCACCUUCCUAACAUCACUCAGAGCUGAGCAUCCUGGCUCAUGCCUGCCAUCCCAGCAUGAGGAGGCUGAGGCAGAAGUAUCAAAAGUUCAAAGCCAACCUCAGCUACCUAGUCAGUCAGAGACAAGCCUGCAAUACAAAAGACUGUCUCAGAAACAAAAAGGGGCAGGACUGGGAGGCGAGGAGGGAGGGGCUGAGAUUGGGAUGCAAUGUGAAUAAAAAAAUAUGGAAAAAUAUUUUUAUUCAUGAGUGGGGUGCAGAAGCAGAUUUGGAUCCCCUGGAAUUGGAGUCGCUCGCAGGCUGCCAUUAGCUAUUUGAAAUGGCGCUAGGGGACAGACAGGACAGCCGUAACACUCUUAGCCACGAAGCCAUCGCUCCUGGUGCCCUCCCUACCCUAGUUUUUGUCUUUAUGCUUUUGUUUUGAGAUAGGGACUUGCUCUUUAGCUCAUUCUGGACAAUAGUGUUUAUUGUAAAACAGACACGAUAGCAUACACCUAUAAAACCAGCCCUUGGAGGCAAAGGCAGGAGGCACUUGAGUUGGAAACCAGCCCAGGCUAUGUAGCCAGCAGUUUUAUAAUUUUUUUUAAAAUUAUAUGUGAGAUUCUGGAACUGCCAAAGGGAAGAGACACGCAGGGUGGCAUCUUGAGUGGAGAGGCCCAGAGCUGAAGCCCUUUGUGGGACACUCUGGCUCCCUCCCAGCACCCCUACAUUCCCUGACAGGAAGAUCCUGCCACAUCCAUGCCCAGAGCUUCCAGCUGGGCAUCGCUGACAACAACUGGCUACUGGAUGACCUCAGUCUGGAACACCCUCCUUCCCUUCCCAGAGGUUCGGAGUGUGGUAGGACACAGGCUGGAGAUGACCGGUUUAACCUAUUGGUGACAUUCUUGGUCUUUUGGACAAGGCUAGGACCACCAAGAGUCUCCUCAUUAGCAUAAAAUUGGGUGGGGUGGAUUCCUAAGAACAAUGAAGGAUAUUUCUAUCACUUAGGAAAUCCCAGAUAUUUCUGAAGCUCUAUGCCAAAAAACGGGGACAGAGACCAAGAACAUGGGUUUUCUUUAUUAAACCAUAGACUGGGUUGGACAGUUCUUGUAAGGAAUAGUGUUCCUGAGGACAGAAAUGCAGAGUAGGGAAGACUGAUAAGGUCAGAACUGAUGGUAUUGAGGCUCAGCAAACAUCACUCCAAAGCCCAGCAGCUGAACUAAAAGGACUAAAAACUGGAGCCCUGAGGCAUCUCUGACAUCCCAGCACAGCCCUGUCUCUUCUCUCAGUCCUCCCCCUCCUAAACACAUAGCGAGGCUUCCACCAACGAUCCCUUAAAACCAGACCAACCAAGGAAGAAUUCAGUAUUCUUCAGUCAUUUUACUGAAAUGCCACUAAUCAAGAAAGACUUAACUCUUCAGUAUUCUUCAAUCAUUUUAAUGAAACGCCACUAAUCAGGGAAGAUUGAACUACCAGAGGAAGAGACUGGAAAGCAAUCAUCAUAUUUAGGGCGCAGAGGAACCUGGUCCCAAACCAUUGUCUGCUCUUCAACCGUCCAUCUCUAAGAUUUGUCUGCUUUAAGUAUUUCACAGUCUUCCCUAUGGGUAAGGUGGUCGAGCCCAUUCAUAUCGUAUGGAUACAAUUUUCAUACUUAUGUUUCAUACAUACAUACACGCAUGCACUCAUACACAUAAGCCAAGAAGGAGAAUCUGUAUUCCUUUCUACAUGCUAACCCUCUGUUUAGUCCAUCAGACUCACGUAUGCAGCCUCCAGGGAGAGUUUAAGCCUCUUUUGGCAGUGGGCAAGGGAUAUGGAUCAAAGUUGUCCUGGAGGAGAGGCAGGUGACCUCUUUCAGGGUCCUGGCAGCUGGUCUUUCUCUGCAUGUGUUUUAUUCCAGGUCUCCUCCCCUGGAAGAGAGGCCUCCCCAUCUCUGCAUCUGUGCCAGGGUCCCCAUGACUUCAGUCUGCCUUCCUCCAGCGCUCUCUAGUGAUAUCCCCCAGUCCAAACGCCUUCUCCCUUUCUAGUAGACUUCACUGGCCGAGUCUAGUGGCACAGGCCGGUAAUCCCACCUACUCCAGAAACUGAGGCAGGAAGGUCACAAGUUUAAAGCCAGUCCGAGAAAUUUAGUGACAUCCUAUCUCAAAAGUUUAAAUAAAAUGAAAUGAAACCACAGAGAGAGAGAGAGAGCGCACGCGCUAGAGGGGCAAGGCCAGCAAGAUGCUUCAGUUGGGAAAGGCACUUGCUGCCAAGUCUGACAACCUGGAUUCGAUCCCUGGAACCUACAUAGUGGAAGAAGAGACUCCUGCAAGGUGUUUUCCCAUCUCCACACACAAGUACCAUGGCACGUGCAGGUGCAGGUGUCUGCACAUAGACGCCCAUAACUAAUUAAUCAAACAUCAGUUUUAAAUGUACUGCAUUUUCUGUGUAUGGAUGCUUUGCCUUCAUGUGUGUUUGCCCACAGAGGCCAGAGAAAGCCUUGGAUCCCCUAGAACUGGAGUUGCAGAUGCCUGGGAGCCACUUAAUGUGGGUACUGAGAAGCAAAUGCCCACCUCUGUCGGAGUGCUCUUAGUGGUUACUAAGCCUUCUCCCCAGCUCCCCUCCCCUCAGCGCUGUAACCCUUGGCGCCUCACUCCAAACAGACAGCCCUGACUUUUGUGAAGCAUCAGUGAUCUCUCCAUCCCUUCUCAGCUGUCCCUCACAGUCUGGGUUCUUCUGAAUAGAAUGUGACUAGCCGACCUGUGUUCCUUCAGGGAAAAAGCAAGCGACUGUGUACAGGAGUACAGGCCGGCACACGAGUGCCACAAAUAGUCCUUCCUAGAGAAUAUCACCCUUCUCAAGUUUAGGCAAAAUAAAGAGUAGUAGUGGUAGGGACUAUGUCUCUACUGGGACUAAUGAAAAGAACUUGGGAAUUGAGGUAGGACUCUACACCAAGGUCAAGGCUAGCUUCUCCCAGGACCCCAAGCUUCCUGGCCACUCUGUUAAGACUGCUCUUGGCAGAUGCUCCGCCAACAGGCAGGUGGAUUGACAAGAUGAGAAAUCUAACCAAUGUGAUGGGAGCAGGCAGCUGGCAACACUAAGCAGCGUAGGAGCCUCUGGGGACAGGCCCAGCUGAAAAGAGCUGUCUGGAAGCUGUGUGGAAAGCUCUCCCUCGUGUGGUUUCCAGCCCAUGACAAGCCCGGAGCACAAUCCAAGUCCUGGCGAGCAGAGAGUUGCUGGUGCACAUUAAUAGUAUCAUGGGAGCCCAGGCAGAGUGGGAGCAGCGAGCUCGGCCACCUGCUGCCUUAGGAGACUUGGCCCACAGGCCCUUGAGAGACUCUCCGAAGGUCCUCAGUGGGUAGCUCCAGGAUGAGGGUCUCUUAGCGCCGCCCUACUCUGCUGACUUCUGGAAGAGGCUGAUUGGCCUCCUAGUCCUGGUUUCCUGAGGUGGGACACCUCCAGAAGAGCUCCAGAAGAGAGGAUAAGUGAGUGAGAGACUGGAGUGGAAAGAGAAGCAGGAAAAGUGAGACUGAGCAGGCGCAGAUCUCAGCUGGUCCCAACAGCUUUGAACCCAGAGAGCUGGGCCUCUAGCAAGGCCUGUUCUCUAUUCCAGCAAAAGACCAACCUGCCCCCCAGGGUCUUGGCUAAGUACACAGCUGCCCUCUAGGCCAGAUACAGGGCUCCAGGGAUGUCUUGAGAAACAGGCCAAGACAAGGAGACGAUGUACUGGGGUGUUCCCUCUGGGACAUCUCCUUGGACCAAGCACUGGCUGGACCUGAAGUUCAGUCUAGCCUAUUGCCAUGCCCCCAUCUCUGGCUUACAAAUCACAGGCUCAGAUCCUAGAGGUGUAGCUGGCUAAUGACACCCAGGGUGCCACUUCAGGGCACAACCAAGGAAUACAUUCUUGGACCUGAUGCCAAAGCCAGGGAACUUGCAGGUGAGAAUGUGAGAGGCCUGGACUAUGGAAGACAGGGUCCAAGGCUCUGACUUCUUUUGCAUCCAGCUCUAGGCAGACUGGAGCACAUCUCCCACCAGACCCAUUGACCUCAGGCCCAGAGCUUCAUUUGUCCCCAGUUGCAGAGACCCUUUGGCAAAGGAGACUUGAGAGCAAAUAGAACUGCUCUUGCCAGUAACCCCUAGGUCAGAUGUAGGAAGCAGGGAAAGAGAGGCUGGCUAAAACUACAAUUCAGGAAUAGGUCCGAGGCAGGGUGACAGCCAGAGCCUGGGAGAGGCAAAGGGGCAUGCUGGGUAAGCACAGGGCAAGCUUUGCUCUUGACUUCUACCUAUUAUCACCUUCCUGUCAGGAUACAACAAUGUCCGGCACCAGACCAGGCCCAGUGUCAGCAGACCACUGUGUGCUCCAGACCACACUUAGCUCAUUCACAGCAGUGCAACCUGGCACACCAAGACUACAGAGUUCUCACUGAAAGGUGAUCGGAGUUCUGAUUUCUCUCCAGGUGUACAGAGUCAAAGACGUGUAAGAGAGAGGGACUGGAAAGAUCGCUCCACUGAGCACAGGGUGUUCUUCCAGAAGAUCUGGCUUUAAUUUUCAGUACCCACGUGGUAGCUUGCAAGUAUCUAUAACUUCCAUUCCAGGGGGAUCCUGGUGUCCUCUUCUGGCCUCCACGAAUGCUGUGCACACAUGGUAGACACACUCAGACACACACACACAACAAAUGCAUAUUUUUAAAAUAAAUAUAAAUAAAAGUUCUGGAGAAGCAGAUGCCCACGAUGAGGUGACUGCCCACAUGAGUUUCACGGUUAUUUUUACUCUUUAUCCAGUAUUUAUUCAUUAUGAUCUUGAGAACUCACUGUCAAGAAAAACAGAGAAAGCCUACUGUUGGGAGAGCUACUGGCCAGACCUACAGUGUACUUUCUGGCCUUCCCAAAUCUCAGAGACACCAAUUUUACAGUUUUAUAUCAGCAUAGGCCCUUUGCCAAGAUGGGCAAGGUGGACAAGUCUGGGAUACAUGGAGCUCUGUACUAAAAAGAGCAACCACAAUACACAUAUAAUACACCCAUAUAAAAGAAUAGAGGACAAAUGUAAAGAAUAACAACAUGGGUUUUCACCAGACCUGGGGGAAAAGUAUUACUAAGUAUCUCACUACAUUAUUACUAGUGCCUUUGUUUGAAUUUUUGAAACAGGGUCUUGUCUGGCUGUACAGCUCUGGCUGGCUUGGGACUCUCUCUGUGGACCAAGGUGGCCUCAUCCUCACAGAGAUUUGCCUGCCUUUCUCUCUCAGAGUGUUGAGAUUAAAGGUGUGUGUCACCACACACCUUUUGUUUUGUUGUUGUUGCUGUUCUUUGAUUUUGAGACAGCAUCUUACUAGGCAGCCCAGGCUGAUAUAUCCCAGGCUGAUAUAUCCCAGGCUGAUAUAUCACUAUAUAGCGCAGUCUGACCUUGAACUCCCCCCUCCUGCCUUAAACUACUUGGCUAGCACCCACCAUGCUUGCCGCCAGGCAUAUACCAUCAUGCCUGACCCGAAGGAUUUGCAUUUCAUUUUAGGAAAAGGGGGGAACGAAAUGGUCACAAAACCCACAUAUUACAUUAUUCCAUUUAUAUGUAGUAUCCAAAAUAGAUCAAUCUGUAGAAAAAGAAAGCAGUAGAUUAGUGGUUGCCUGGAGCUGUAGGCUGGAAGAAACAGGGAGAGAAUGUUAACGGAUAUUGGGUUUCUUUCAGGGGAGGGAUGAUGGAAAUGUUCUAAAACUGUUUGUGGUGAUGUUUGCACAAUCUUAUGAAUGUACCAAAAAGCCAUUGACUUGUACACUUUAAAGGAGUGAAUUACAUGGUGUGUGAAUUAUAUCUCAAUAAAACUGUUAUUUUAAGAAGGGUCAUGGCUG
rnacentral:lncRNA from 1 species